AUACCAUACUUGUAGUAUUCAUUAACUAUUCAUAUCAUAUCUGUAAUUUGAUUGUGCAAGGAUAAGAAUUAAUAGAAUCGGUUACCUAUUUCCAAGAAUUUCUUCUACCUCCUUUAUUAACACUUUAUGCAAAUUUCAAACGUGAGAUAAUAAACAACAUUGAAGUAAAUAGCUAUACCAUAGCUACAUAAGAGUCGAUAUUUCGUUCUACGCUCGAUUUCCUUUAUCGCAGAUGGCGUAACCAUUUCCUGUAACAUUCUCGAGCUAUUCGAGAUGCAAGAUGCAACUAUGCGAUCGGUCCGAGCAUCUGUUGUCAGGUGGUAAACGCGAAGGAAUCGCAAUCCUCUGGGGAUAGGCCAGUUUAAUUGGAAUUGAUGCUGCAAGCCCAGCGCUACAAUCGACACAGCUCUAACGCGCGUAACUAAUUAACACGCCGGAGAUAAUCCAAGUGAAUCGCGUCUAAGCAAUAGCUCCCCCGUGAUGUAGUCGAUCGUACCACAAUAGAGGUUAUGAGAGCAUCAGAAAUCGAACGUACUAAUUUAUCUCUCGAGCCGACCUAUUCGAUCAGGAUUAUGCGUUAUGCAUUCGUGAAGAUGUUUUGAUAUCGUACGAGGGGAAAGAGCGAGCGGACACAGACGAAUCGACCAGCAACGAGGAGAAACGUUUGCGUGGAUUGGGCCUCUGGUGGAGAUAACGAGCGGCGGUACGCGGAAAGCAGGAAGUUGGCAUGAAAAAGUAGAUACAAAAUGAGCUGUAGAUGCCACGAUAAGGUGUUACGGGAAUGAUGGAAGGAAGAAAGGAAAAAUUAAACGAUGAUGAUGGCAGAGGAACAAACGAGAGCGGUGCGCCGGAAGUUAACAAGAAAAAUGGCUAGUUGUUUCUUGAAUGUUCCGGAGUAACAGAUGACGGAGGAUUAAAUCCCAAGACUAUCCGGUUUAUCUUUUUGCUAGGAUGGGGAAGACAGAGAGGGUGAGAAAGGGUUGGUGAAAUAGAUGGAUGGAAUAAGGCAUGGCAACACGCAACAGGCAAUCAGGUCAAGUUGAGAUGUUUCAAAACUUCAAGAGCCUCGAACUUCCGGUAAACUGGUGUUGAAGAAGGGAAAGACACGUAGAUAUGUACAAUAUUUACGUGAGAUGUAGUCAUGGGAUCAACUUGAAUAUGCACUUAUAAAUCCGAAUCGAAUCCGACAUGGAAGGUCCACUGCGUAGGGUUAUAGGGAUACUAUUCGUAUCUUGACUGCGAAUUUUUAUGGAAUUUCGUAUUUCGAUUGGAUAGAACUGAAGAAAUGCAACUUGUAGAGAAAUUUGUUUCAUCGACUAAAAAUUCUAAAGAGUACGAAAGACAAAUAGUUUGUAUAACUGGAAUUCACACGAUGGUAAUUUCUUGCUUCUGCUUGCUAUAAUUUUUUGUUUAUACGAUAGAAAUUGACGUUUAGAUAGAUAACAAUUUUUAUAGACAAGAGUUCGUUUGACCGCAACAUUGGCGAAAGUUUAGUUCAAAUAAAUGGAUGUUUAGAAAGAAAUAUUUUUGGAUCUCGUAAAGUAGCCGAAGCAGAGCAAAGUCUCUAUUUGUUGUUGUAAAAUAUUCCGCAUCAGAAGAAAUAUUAAAUCACGUUUAUAUCGCAAAGUAGUAUGUAGAAUAUCAUAAAAUUACUACUCUAUUAUAAAUUUUCCGCUGUGGAGAAAAUUGUUAGAUAUUACUAAGAGAUGUUUCAAAUAAGGAACGAUACUCGAACUCUAUGAUUGAACAUAACAACGGCCAGUGAUAGUUGGGACUCCUGAAAUAUAUCAAAUUGGAAAAGAAUUUCUUAUACAUCAUUGCAUAAUAAUUUAGUCUACAAAAAUAUAUAUCCUACGUUGAUAUAAAAUAAAUCACGUAAACAGGAAUACUUGCGGAAGUUUUUGUGAAAGGAUACGAAUGAUAUUUCUCUUCGUUUUUUACGUUUCAUCGUGUAAAAAGCUCGGCGAUUUUACAUACAAAGAGGGAGAAUAAGUUAUUCUUCGAAAUGGAAUAAACGGGCGAUAACGUUUGAGGAUUUGAAAUAGAAGCUCUGUUGACGGUGCUUUCAUUAAUCCAAGUGACUUUUAUUCGGUACAGUCUUCAAAAUAAUGCAUCGAUGUAUUAAGAGGAUACAGCUAAAUAUAGCGGAGGGAAUGAUUGACCCGAACAAAGAAGCACGACGGAGAAGCGAAAUGUAACAGUGCAAGGGAAAAUGGAUCGUCUAUUGUCAGACACGUUUCGAACCGCUAUGACCGGGACCUAUAUAUUCCCUCCGUAACUCUUUACACAUGCGUUAUUUCGAUAACUAUUUCGAAUAGAAGUUGUUCGGAUUAAGUGGCAAUCUAGGAAAAUUCGAGUAUCGUUGAAAAUAACAUAGAAAAUAAAUAUACCCUAUUUGUAUUGUAAAAUAUUUAAU